rnacentral:sRNA from 1 species
UAAUUUUUUAUUUAAUAGUUUUUUUCUGCAAUUAGAACUUUAUUUAACUCAGGAUUUGACUGGUUUAAAUAUAGCGGGUGCAGUUACGAUUGCGGGAGUUUACAGAAACGAGCGGUUGCGGUUUCAAGUGUAUCAAGCGUUUUGAACGACUGGUUGAACGUUUGAUAAUGGAUGCGUUUGCGGGAGUUUUAUGACUGGUAAACCAGCGGGUGCGAUAGUAACUAAAUAAAAAAUAACCAAAAUAAAUAUAAUAUAUUAC